UUCUCUACCAGACUCGCUCUUCAGUAUUUAAGCUUUGUUGACUCGGUACACUCCGAGUCCUUUAUUCAUACCUUGUCCACUUGCACCCUAGUACUCUACCCCAGGCAAGUAAAUUAUUCAUCGUACAGCAGCCAACGGCCAUGACCGGAGCUACCUUUCUGCAUCUAAUCACUAUGGCCGCCCCCCCCCCCCCCGCCACAACACAGGCUCCUCCCACUAAAUACAUCAACCACACCGUUGGUGAUAAUGCCGGCUGGUUCUUCAAUUCCACCACCAACGCCGCUGCCACUAACUAUUCCUCUUGGGCUGCCUCCCAAACCUUCAAUCUCGGCGACUAUCUUAUUUUCAAAACGAGCUCAAAUCAGACGGUGAUCUAGACCUACAAUCUGACAACAUUCAAAAACUGCUCAAUCGAUGACUCCUCCUAUAACGAUACCUUCGUCUACAAUGGAGGCAACAUGGUUUUUAAUCAAGCGUUGACCAUGAUUGUACCGUUGACUAUUCAAGGUCCGAAUUAUUUCUUCUCUGAUGCUAGUGAUGGCAUUCAAUGCCAGCAUGGAUUGGCCUUUGAUAUCAACGUUAGUCGUGGCCUUGGAUUGCCUCCCAGUCUUAAUCAGCCGCCCCCUCCACCGUACAGGGAGCCUCCAGGUCCCGACUCAGCUUAUCCGCCGAUCACUAUUCCGGCCGAGGGAGGGGGGGCAGGAAAUAGUGGAUUUAAAAACGGGGCCAGCGUGCAAGUGAUUGCGGGUGUGAGUUUAUUUGCUUUGCUGGCAGUCAAUGGUGGGGAUAGGGGUGGUAUUUUUUGAGUUGUUUGGUGUUGGAUUGGUAAUUGGAUACAUAUGUAACGGGGAUUUUUUAUUAUGUUUGGGUGUUGAUUUGAA